GUGCUCGCUUCAGCAGCACAUACACUAAAAUUGGAACAAUACAGAGAAGAUUAGCAUGACCCCUGCGCAAGGAUGACACAAAAUUCAUGAAGCAUUACAUAUUUUA